rnacentral:rRNA from 1 species
CCUACGGGAGGCAGCAGUGAGGAAUAUUGGUCAAUGGGAGAGAUCCUGAACCAGCCAAGCCGCGUGAGGGAAGACGGCCCUAUGGGUUGUAAACCUCUUUUGUCGGAGAACAAAACCCGGGACGAGUCCCGGACUGCGUGUAUCCGAAGAAAAAGCCUCGGCUAACUCCGUGCCAGCAGCCGCGGUAAUACGGAGGAUGCGAGCGUUAUCAGGAUUUAGUGGGUUUAAAGGGUGCGUAGGGGGUCUGUUAAGUCAGCGGUAAAAUUGCGGGGCUCAACCCCGUCCAGCCGUUGAAACUGGCAGACUUGAGUGGGCGAGAAGUACGCGGAAUGCGCGGUGUAGCGGUGAAAUGCAUAGAUAUCACGAAGAACUCCGAUUGCGAAGGCAGCUCACUGGACUGCAACUGACACUGAGGCUCGAAAGUGUGGGUAUCAAACAGGAUUAGAUACCCUUGUAGUC